ACUCAAAGGAAUUGACGGGGACCCGCACAAGCAGCGGAGCAUGUGGUUUAAUUCGAAGCAACGCGAAAAACCUUACCAAGACUUGACAUCCUGCGCAUAACGUGGAAACACGUUAGUCCUUCGGGACGCAGAGACAGGUGGUGCAUGGUUGUCGUCAGUUCGUGUCGUGAGAUGUUCGGUUAAGUCCGGCAACGAACGCAACCCUUAUGAUAUGUUGCUAACAUUCAGUUGAGAACUCAUAUCAGACUGCCGUGGAUUAACACGGAGGAAGGUGGGGACGACGUCAAAUCAUCAUGCCCCUUACGUCUUGGGCUACACACGUGCUACAAUGGGCGCUACAAAGAGCAGCAAAACAGCAAUGUCGAGCGAAUCUCAAAAAGGCGUUCUCAGUUCAGAUUGUGGGCUGCAACCCGCCCACAUGAAGUAGGAGUUGCUAGUAAUCGCGAAUCAGCAUGUCGCGGUGAAUGCGUUCCCGGGUCUUGUACACACCGCCCGU
rnacentral:rRNA from 1 species